UACGGGGGGGGGCAAGCGUUGUUCGGAAUUACUGGGCGUAAAGGCUCGGUAGGCGGCCAACUAAGUCGGAUGUGAAAUCCCCCAGGCUACACGGUGGAACUGCAUCCGAUACUGGAUGGCUUGAAUUCGGGAGAGGGAUGCAGAAUUCCAGGUGUAGCGGUGAAAUGCGUAGAUAUCUGGAGGAAUACCGGUGGCGAAGGCGGCAUCCUGGACCGGCAUAGUACGCUGAACAGCGAAAAGCUAGGGGAGCAAACGGG
rnacentral:rRNA from 1 species